rnacentral:rRNA from 1 species
AUUGAACGCUGGCGGCAGGCCUAACACAUGCAAGUCGAGCGGCAGCGACUUAACUGAACCUUCGGGGAACGUUAAGGGCGGCGAGCGGCGGACGGGUGAGUAAUGCCUGGGAGUAUGCCCUGAUGUGGGGGAUAACUAUUGGAAACGAUAGCUAAUACCGCAUAAUCUCUUCGGAGCAAAGAGGGGGACCUUCGGGCCUCUCGCGUCAGGAUUAGCCCAGGUGGGAUUAGCUUGUUGGUGAGGUAAUGGCUCACCAAGGCGACGAUCCCUAGCUGGUCUGAGAGGAUGAUCAGCCACACUGGAACUGAGACACAGUCCAGACUCCUACGGGAGGCAGCAGUGGGGAAUAUUGCACAAUGGGGGAAACCCUGAUGCAGCCAUGCCGCGUGUGUGAAGAAGGCCUUCGGGUUGUAAAGCACUUUCAGUAGGGAGGAAGGUAGUGUAGUUAACACCUGCAUUAUUUGACGUUACCUACAGAAGAAGCACCGGCUAACUCCGUGCCAGCAGCCGCGGUAAUACGGAGGGUGCGAGCGUUAAUCGGAAUUACUGGGCGUAAAGCGCAUGCAGGCGGCCUGUUAAGUCAGAUGUGAAAGCCCGGGGCUUAACCUCGGAAUUGCAUUUGAAACUGGCAGGCUAGAGUCUUGUAGAGGGGGGUAGAAUUUCAGGUGUAGCGGUGAAAUGCGUAGAGAUCUGAAGGAAUACCAGUGGCGAAGGCGGCCCCCUGGACAAAGACUGACGCUCAGAUGCGAAAGCGUGGGGAGCAAACAGG